rnacentral:tRNA from 1 species
GGGGUUGUGGCUCAUUGGUAGAGCGCUUGCCUUGCAUGUAUGAGGCCCUGGGUUGAUCCCCAGCACCACA